AUGCAACAACCAGCCUGCCAGCUCCUUGCACACGCGCACGCGGCAACGCCUGCACAAAUCGCCCAACACCUGGGCCUAGCCCGCCAUGCCUGCUCCGCAGUGCUCUCACCUGAGAUAUUAGCGUCUAGCGCACGAAGCCUCACCAGCCUACCACGCCUUCAAGACGCCGCCUCCCACGUGUUUGCGCUGACCACUUGCACCGAUGCGGCUGUGCGCCCCUGCGCCACGCGAUUCGAGCACUACUGCAACUCGCCGAGAUCGAUCCGGAUCACUGCUGUGAAGAUUACAACGCGAUCAUAUCUGCUUCUGAUCUGCAACUCACCGACGAUUCUGUCCCGUGUUACGAUGCCUCUGUAG
rnacentral:rRNA from 1 species